rnacentral:lncRNA from 10 species
GAUAAGUGCUAAAUAAUCCCCAGCUGUAAAAUUCUAAGAAUAAUUAAAACUUCCUUUCUUAACAUUCUUAGUGAACAACUUACAGGUUAAAAAACAAACCCAAAGAGAUUAUUUCCUGCAAAGAGCCUUUAGUAUGGUAGCACCUACUUCUAGAAGGCCUGUCAUAAACUGUCAUCUAGUGAAAGUGAUGAAGAAGAGUGGCUGGGAGUCAAUCUUAUCAGGAGCUGGAACAGGUGAAGCCCUCACCAGUGAAAAAUCUUGACAGAUGCAGCUACUAAGAUUUCCUACUACAAAGAAUAACAGCAGUUAGAAAAGCAGACUCCCUGUGGUGGCGACCAGUAUCUUCAAACUCAUACCAGAGUAAAGCCUUAUCCAUUUGGAGUUCUUUCUGAUGCAUUAUGUGAGAAAAACAAGCAAACAAAUGAACACUUAUUUGUAUUUGAAUUGCACUAAAUUUAUACAUGAAACUGAAAAAAACUGAUAUCUUUAUGAAGCUGCAUAAUCCUAUCCAAGGACAGACGUCUCCUUCCAUUUGCUUUUGCUUUACUAAUUUGAAUCUAUGUUAUUUGUUUUGGAUACAUCUGGAAUUGACUUUUUUGCAUGGUGUAAGAAAUAACAGUUCUUCCUGGAUCAGCCCUCUCCCGUCUGUCAUCUCCAACAGAUACAAAGCCAGCUUUAAGAAGACCAAACCUACAAAAAUCAUUCAUGCUUUCUGCCUCCAUGUUUUUCUUUCCAACCUAGUUCCUCCAGAAAAUGUAAAAGAGCAACCGAACCGUCAACUGGUACAAUGACUUCUACACAUCAGACCUCGGCCACGCCACAGUCAUCAGAUUAUUCUAUCACAGGGUCUCUCAACCGUGGAAUAUGGUCUCCAAGGGAAACAAGCCACAGAGGGCUCAGGAGCAUUGCUAUAAAGAGUAGGCAAAUGGAAAUCUUUCCCCAAAGGGCACACUGGGAUUGUUAGGCGAGGGCUGCUCAAUCCAUUAAAAGUUUAAACUCG